rnacentral:rRNA from 1 species
UACGUAGGGUGCGAGCGUUAAUCGGAAUUACUGGGCGUAAAGAGCGUGUAGGCGGCUUGGUAGGUCCGCUGUGAAAACUCGAGGCUCAACCUCGAGAUGUCGGCGGAAACCACUUGGCUAGAGUCCGGAAGAGGAGAGUGGAAUUCCCGGUGUAGCGGUGAAAUGCGCAGAUAUCGGGAAGAACACCUAUGGCGAAGGCAGCUCUCUGGGACGGUACUGACGCUGAGACGCGAAAGCGUGGGGAGCGAACAGG